rnacentral:lncRNA from 1 species
GAACUAAUCAUCGCCGGGACAGGCCCAGCUGAUCCCUACAGAGUCCCCGGAAAAUUCCAGGCCUGUUUAGAAGCCAGGAACAGCUCUGAUCCGCAGUGACCUGGCUGAUGUGGCCUGCCAUCCUGGAUCCGGGGACAUGCUAUGGUGUUCAUGCGGAGGUCAGAGAACAAACAGCUUGCAGGAGCCAGUUUCUCUUUCCAUUAUGAG